rnacentral:rRNA from 1 species
UACGUAGGGUGCAAGCGUUGUCCGGAAUUAUUGGGCGUAAAGAGCUCGUAGGCGGUUUGUCGCGUCUGCUGUGAAAACCCGAGGCUCAACCUCGGGCCUGCAGUGGGUACGGGCAGACUAGAGUGCGGUAGGGGAGAAUGGAACUCCUGGUGUAGCGGUGGAAUGCGCAGAUAUCAGGAAGAACACCGAUGGCGAAGGCAGUUCUCUGGGCCGUAACUGACGCUGAGGAGCGAAAGCGUGGGGAGCGAACAGG